GACGAACGCUGGCUGCGUGCUUAACACAUGCAAGUCGAACGGAAAGGCCCUGCUUUUGUGGGGUGCUCGAGUGGCGAACGGGUGAGUAACACGUGAGUAACCUGCCCUUGACUUUGGGAUAACUUCAGGAAACUGGGGCUAAUACCGGAUAGGAGCUCCUGCUGCAUGGUGGGGGUUGGAAAGUUUCGGCGGUUGGGGAUGGACUCGCGGCUUAUCAGCUUGUUGGUGGGGUAGUGGCUUACCAAGGCUUUGACGGGUAGCCGGCCUGAGAGGGUGACCGGCCACAUUGGGACUGAGAUACGGCCCAGACUCCUACGGGAGGCAGCAGUGGGGAAUAUUGCACAAUGGGCGGAAGCCUGAUGCAGCAACGCCGCGUGCGGGAUGACGGCCUUCGGGUUGUAAACCGCUUUCGCCUGUGACGAAGCGUGAGUGACGGUAAUGGGUAAAGAAGCACCGGCUAACUACGUGCCAGCAGCCGCGGUGAUACGUAGGGUGCGAGCGUUGUCCGGAUUUAUUGGGCGUAAAGGGCUCGUAGGUGGUUGAUCGCGUCGGAAGUGUAAUCUUGGGGCUUAACCCUGAGCGUGCUUUCAAUACGGGUUGACUUGAGGAAGGUAGGGGAGAAUGGAAUUCCCUGGUGGAGCGGUGGAAUGCGCAGAUAUCCAGGAGGAACACCAGUGGCGAAGGCGGUUUUCUGGGCCUUUCCCUGACGCUGAGGAGCGAAAGCGUGGGGAGCGAACAGGCUUAGAUACCCUGGUAGUCCACGCUGUAAACGGUGGGUACUAGGUGUGGGGUCCAUUCCACGGGUUCCGUGCCGUAGCUAACGCUUUAAGUACCCCGCCUGGGGAGUACGGCCGCAAGGCUAAAACUCAAAGGAAUUGACGGGGCCCCGCACAAGCGGCGGAGCAUGCGGAUUAAUUCGAUGCAACGCGUAGAACCUUACCUGGGUUUGACAUGGAUCGGGAGUGCUCAGAGAUGGGUGUGCCUCUUUUGGGGUCGGUUCACAGGUGGUGCAUGGCUGUCGUCAGCUCGUGUCGUGAGAUGUUGGGUUAAGUCCCGCAACGAGCGCAACCCUUGUUCACUGUUGCCAGCACGUUAUGGUGGGGACUCAGUGGAGACCGCCGGGGUCAACUCGGAGGAAGGUGGGGAUGACGUCAAGUCAUCAUGCCCCUUAUGUCCAGGGCUUCACGCAUGCUACAAUGGCUGGUACAGAGAGUGGCGAGCCUGUGAGGGUGAGCGAAUCUCGGAAAGCCGGUCUCAGUUCGGAUUGGGGUCUGCAACUCGACCUCAUGAAGUCGGAGUCGCUAGUAAUCGCAGAUCAGCAACGCUGCGGUGAAUACGUUCCCGGGGCU
rnacentral:rRNA from 1 species